rnacentral:lncRNA from 1 species
CUCUAAAUGAUAAAGAUGGAAGUCGGGACAAAACCCAUGACAUCCAGACAAAACUGAAGGUAAAUGAAAUCCUCUGGAAGCAAGAAGGCACCGUAGCUAACUGGAACUGCAAGUGGUAUCAACGAAGUUUCUGUUGAUGAUCUUGAAUACCUGUAUCUGCAUCAUGAAAUCAUGCAGGCCAAAUGGCUCAGUAGAUGGAAUGUACGAGCAUGUAAGGGAAAUUCUAAAGCAUAACAUAAGCUUGAACUUGAUAAAAAGGGAACAUACUUACCUCUUCUCAACUCACUCAACUAAACUCAACUCAAGAAUAAGAUGCUCAACUCAAAGAUUAGAUACUCAACUCAAGGAUAUGAUACUUAACUCAAAGGUACUCAACUCAAGUUACUCAAGGAUAUAGCAACAAUAAAAGAUGUAAUAUAUGGAAAACCUUUAAACAGUAGAAAGCAACUCGAUGUAUUGAAGAAUACAAUAACAACUCAAUUUGUAUAUAAAAAUAUAAUAUAACUAUGUGGGAGAUUCUCUAAUCGACAACAAUUACUAUGAGUUAUGUGAUGAUACAGCGUCUCGCCCACGCUGCCAGAACUGUCAUAUACUUUGUCGGGGUAUAGAACCUCUCAACUAAGUGGAUCCACUAGUCUAUGCUAAAAGCAUUAAGGAAUCAUCUAAAAAGUAUGACCCUUUCUACCCACGUUGGCUACAUGGUUUAUGGAGACUUGAGUUAUCUAAAAAGAGAUGUUACUCAAACUGCUCAAAACUCUUUUGGAAAUCUCAAUUUCCUCCUCUUUUUAAAUGUGAAAACAUUUAGUCUUGGGAAUACUUAGUUUCCAUAUAUCAUUUUAAAGAAAAUGACUCGACUCCACUUUUUCUCAACUCAAGUGCUCAAGUCUUAAAACAAGUUUAGAAAAAAUUGUAAAAGACUUCUCAAAAUAAGGUUCAUGCCGAAUUAUGGACGUAAACGACACAAUUCAAGGUUUUCAAUAACCAUACAUAGAACUCAAUACUCAGAACUCGACAACUCAGAACUCAAGAACUUCAAUGAUACUACUUAUUUCAAGAAUGCUCAACUCAGACGGUUCAUGCGGAAUCAUAGGCAUGAACAACUCAACUCAUGGACUUCAAGAUACUACUCAUCUCAAGAAUGUUCAACUCAUAGGGUUCAUGCGGAACUAUGGCCAUGAACUACUCAACUGAAGGACUACAUGGGUAAUAUGUAAUAGUAAUAAGAUUAGGAAUAUAAUCUCAAAAGGGUUAGGAACUCGAUACUCAAGGCUUAGAACUUAAAAAUAGUACUACUCCUCUCAAAGAUGCUCAAAUUAGAAAGUUCAUGCAGAAUUAUGGGCAUGAAGGACUCGACUCGAAGGUCUGCAUAACAAUAUGGAACUCAUGUAUACGACUCUUGUCAUCCUCGUACUUACUUCCUCAAAACCUAGCUCAAAUCAAUAGUUAAUCUCAAAAGAUUCACAAUUGAACUCAAAGACUUUUUUGAACUCUACUCUUAACUCUCUCUUGAAUUUGAAUUAUGAAUUCAAGAGUUAUGGUUCAUGAGGAUCUCGUUGAUAGUGUAGACUCAUAAAUACAUUCUCCUCACUCUCAUGCUCACUUACUUGAGUCUUGAAACAAGUUAUUAAAAUUUGUAGAAGACUCCUCAAAAGACUCAAAGGGACUUUCUCAAAAGACUCAAAAGAACUCUCAAGACUUGGCUCUUAACUCUACCUUGAAUUUGAAUUAUGAAUUCAAGGUUAUGAUUUGUGAUAGCAAAGAUAUCAUAAUGAUUAAAUGAGUUUUAGAUAGUUAAUCAUGAGAAACGGUUUAAAAACACGGACAGGGGAGCAAGUCGGCGAUGCAGAGAUGAAUUUUAAUGUUUGGUCAAAAUAAUUUUUGAAACAAUGGAGUCUGCAUUCUCUUCGCGAAGCAGAAAGAAAAAAUUUCACUUCUGAGGAACAGACUCUUCCUCGUUUUCUAGCCCCAAUUGGCCUAAAUUCAAUUCUUUUUCUCAAUUUCUCUUUAGAUUCAGAUACCUACUACAUGUACACAAGAAUCUAAUCAAACACAACUUUAAAAUCGAUACAAUUUCCUGAAGAACUCAUCAACCACAUCUAAACUCAACAACGAAAGCCAAUUUCAAGAACACAAUUUAAGAACACCGAACUUUCAACCUUCUAGAAUGAAUUUCGCUGAAAUUAACAUGAUUGGCGUGUGGGUGAAAAAACCCAACACUAUGGAAGCUUACAUACCUCUUAAGGAUCAAACACAUGGCGAAAAUCAGCAAUAAAACUUAAGAACCUCGACGAACGCCUUGAUCCUUUCCUCUUUUCUCUUCUUGAACUCUCAACUAAAAUCCUAGGCGUAUAUUAGGAUUAUAAAAUUGAACCUAAUCAGAUUAGACCCCUUAAACCUUACUAAAAAUGAAUUAAAUCUGAUUGGGUAAGUAAAAGACCAAAAUACCCCUUACUAUUUUUGGGUAACUUUCCUUGUUUGGACAGCCCGACUUCAAACGAGAAUAUCUCCCUCAUACAAGCUCGAAAUUUAGUAAACUCGGUGGCAUUGGAAACAUAAUUCAAAGACCUUUCAUUUGAUAUCUUACGGGCCGCCGAACUCAUUCUGUACUGAGAGUUAUGGUCGUUUGAAAUUAACCCAAAUCUUAGAGGAACUUAUGAAUGACUUGAAUGGACUCUCUUUAGUUCUUCUUGGAACUCAAGGUGCUACAUUUAGUGACCUUAACACUUAAGAAAUUUUAAAUUCCUCGAUAAAAUCCUACUUACAACAAAGGAUGGUUCAAGUUUUAGCUCAAAAAUUUUCUGGAGUGUUACAGGUUCGAUGCUUAGAUCUAUUCUCUGCUACAAUAUCAUUCGAUGGAGUAAAAAGAACAAUCACAGACUAGGAUCCUACAAUAGAUUGUUCUUUAGUGAAAUUCAAAAUAGAUAAAGAUCUAUUUUGGUAGAUUCACGAUGGUAUGUUAUAUCUCCAUUAAUAUUUUUUCUUGUUUGACGAAUCAUUAGCCUUAAAGUAUAUUAAGAUAACCCAAAAUCAAUCAAGUUUCAAUAAUUUGGUAUAAUUAACUAUCAAAAAUUAGAAGAAAAUGUAAAUUGAAAACUAUAAGAAAUCAGACACAACUUAAAUAAUAGUUGAAUCAGUUACAGGCCUCUAUAAUCAGAAGAGAGAAUAAAGAGAUGUAUGUGGGAUGGGAGAUUGAGAAGAGAGAGAGAGUUGAUUAGGAUUCAUGAAGGUGAAUUGGGGGGAUAGAUUAUACCCAAUUGAUCUAUUCUAGGCUAUUUUUUUUAGAGAGUGGUGUAUAUAUCUCAAUGUAUCUCACCUUAAAUAUGGUAUAAAAUACUUAAAUAGUAUUUACAUAGUAUAUACCUUUUGUUCUUUUUUACCACGUCAUUGAGACAUGAAUCCUUCUCUAUCUUCAGGCAAUAAAUUCUUGCCUUUUUCUUAUGAUGAUCUUUCUAUGAUUUUGAUAACAAGUGAUCAAGGUCGAUCUUCACCGAACACAUCUCCAAAUUCAGUUCCAUCAAAAAAACCUUUGUGAAUAUCCCUUACUCAUUUUAUGUGUUCUCCCUUGUCCUGCAACAUGCACAAUGCAAGCUAUACAAAAACAUCUCUUGUUUCUCUCACUUAAAUCGAAUUAAUUAGCACAACUCAUCUAGCUGGAAUGUCCAAUUAAUUUUUUCUUCCAAACAUCUCCUUCUUGUACGUGUGGAGGAUGUGACAUAAUUUGGAUAUUAUGAGAGCUAAUUAAAAGUUCCUUUCCAUGGUCCUCCUUCUUCCCCAAUAAUAAUUAAAAGUUCCUUUCCCUAGCCCUUCGUAUUCCCCAAUAAUAUAAUUUUAAGUUAUGGAGGUGGAAUAUCGUUUUAUGACCCUUGGGCAUAAUAAUGAACUUGAAUAGAUACAUAUAAAGUUACAACUUGC